GAUGAACGCUGGCGGCGUGCCUAACACAUGCAAGUCGAACGAAUUACUUUAAAGGAAGUUUUCGGAUGGAAUUUAAAGUAGUUAGUGGCGGACGGGUGAGUAACGCGUGGGAAACCUGCCCUAUACAGGGGGAUAGCCUCGGGAAACUGGGAUUAAUACCCCAUAAAACUCUAGUAUCGCAUGAUACAUGAGCCAAAGAUUUAUCGGUAUAGGAUGGUCCCGCGUCUGAUUAGCUAGUCGGUGAGGUAACGGCUCACCAAGGCGACGAUCAGUAGCCGGCCUGAGAGGGUGAACGGCCACACUGGAACUGAGACACGGUCCAGACUCCUACGGGAGGCAGCAGGUGGGGAAUAUUGCACAAUGGGGGAAACCCUGAUGCAGCGACGCCGCGUGAGCGAAGAAGGCCUUCGGGUCGUAAAGCUCUGUCCUAAGGGAAGAAACGGACGGUACCUUAGGAGGAAGCCCCGGCUAACUACGUG
rnacentral:rRNA from 1 species